UGAACCAGCUUUGGGAUCAUUA
rnacentral:rRNA from 1 species